UUGAUAGUAAAGCAUAUAUGGAGAUGAGAAGGGCCAAUCUGUUCAUCUGAAGCUUCAAAUUUAAGAAGACUGAAUUAUUUCAGUCUAUUUAUUGCUGUUUUUUUCAUAUGCAUUUUCCCUGCUGAGAAGGUUUUAAACUAGUUUUUCCACCAAAGAGAAGGAAAAAAAUAAACUGUCAUUUACAGUAAAAACAUGAAAUUAGAGAGCAUCUUGCAACUAGGUAAGAUCCAUUUCCAGUCUCAUACCCAACCAGGAAACUUCAGCAACAAGUUCACAGCAUCAGUGCAGCUUUGAAAAUGGUCAGCCGUGAAGGCAGUCCUUAUGUCAGAAGAGACGUCACUGAUCGAGAAUCAGAACAGAUGCCUAUUUUAAAAGUCCUAAAAGGAACACAACAAGGUAUGCUCUGACAUAAUUCACCAGAAUGGUCCCACCUGACGUCCUUCAGGAAUAAAAGGCCAGAGAUACCUAUUCUGAAAUGAAAAACAGAGAGGCUCUCCUUCUGAUGCCAGAUCUACAACAGAGUACUUUUAUGCAAAAAGUUCCAUUUUGUACCCCCUGCAGGCAUGCACAAGGUUUGCAGUGAGAUGAAUGGAGUUAAAACAACUUUUGAAAAUCUUAGAGUGUGCAAUGACCUGAGCCUGUUAUCUUACCAAUGCCCUAUUACUUUUGCUCACCUAUGCUAUGCAUUCAACAAGCAGAACUGCAGAAAUGUUUAGUUUUGUGUGAGACACCACCACCCUCCACAUUAACACAAAGCCAUCCAGUUGUCCUUAAAGAUAAUAUUAUUAUAGUAUACUACAAAGACUAUACACCAUACUAUUUCACAGAACUUUACAAUGUACUCUGUAACUUUCUAUGUAGUCUUAAAAAGAGCACUGACCGAGUUUUAAGGAAAAUACUGUAACUACUAUAACUCAAAAUUUGUAGUGUACUUACUUGCAGACAGGAAGAAGAGGUCACUAUUCUGAAGACAGGACAACCAUACACCAGCUCCCCGUAAGCAUGAAAAGUGUAGAACAAGAAAUAAAUGCUUUCUGAAUGGUGACCUGUUUAGGUACAGAAAAUCUUUAAAUGCACAGACAACACUGAUUCUUCCCUUGACAUAAACAUUAUUUCAGAUGCCAGUGAAAAAGACCUCCUGUCUAUCAUAGAAAAUUAAACGAAGUAUUUACAACAAAAACAAAUCUGACCACUGAAAAGAAAGAUUCCCAUACCAAAAAGAAGGAGUUCCAUCCAGAAAUUUGGCAGACCGAGGAUUCCCAUCAAUAGCCUUCUCUUUCCAUAAUAUGGAGGCUCAGGUUUUCAGCUGACCAUUAUCAGACUCCAUGCUGAUCCUGGAAUUACUUCUGUUCUGCAGUAUCUUAUUACUCUUCUCCAAACCACAAGCAGGCAGAAGCAUCUGUGACAAAUACUGCCUAGUCCAGCCCCACAUAAUAACGAAAGAACUGAUGUUGGAGGGCCACUUUUUUCUUUUGAUACUUGGAAGAUUGUAUUGGAAUUUCUCUUGUGGUUUCACACUGCAGGACAGACAUGACUUGCUUAAGUGAACACCGUAGGUGACAGCUUUGUAAAGGCCUUUGCUAUGAAGUUUGUUCAAAAGAAUAAAUGAUAACCUCUUCCCAGAAGACAAGGAGACCGGUGGUGUAUUGCUCUAUAUAAACUGUGCUACCUGUCCAAUUGAUAUACCCUCAAAUUCAGAGUGCUUUCAACUUCAGAAAGAGCUCUCCUGUAGCAGCUGAUAUCUAACCAGCCCUGACACAGCAGAGGUCAUGUGGACAAACCAACCACCAAGUCAUGUGAGGACACAAGGCUGGAAUAUUGCCAAAAUGCUGUAUCAGGUGUCUGAAAAGAUUCAUGACAUGCUUACAAGAGGAUAAGUGCUCUCACAAGGGAGGGAGAAGUAAGACACAGCAUGGACAGUGGGAAGAAAAAUAUCCACGCAUUGAUCAGUUUAGGCUACCACAGCUCCUGUUGCUUGAAUACUUUCAUGCUAAUGUACCCUAGAAAGAAAGUUGUGUGUAUUUAUCAAUUUUAUUUUCCUCCAUAAUAUAUUAAUUUGAAAGCAAACAAACAAACAACAACAAAAGGUCAAGGGAGGUGAUUGUCCCGCUCUACUCUGCGCUGG